GCUUUUUAUUGGAUCUUGGCGUUGCACAGAAACGGGUCUGAUUGGUGGAAGUUUUCAUUGGAUCGUACUUUCAUCCAAUCAGGUCAACAGUGAAUUUCAGUCUCAACUUUUAAGCCAACAUGCACGAGAAGUCAGUAAAAACAACUGGGCAAACUCCAUGUGCUGAGGAAGAUUGUGAUGUGAUUGAAAGCUCCAGAGGAUAAACUCCAGCAUCUACUACAACCAACUGCUAUUUCCAAGGGAAGAAUUGACUUUCAAUCUAAUAUGGAUAUGUAUAUUACUUGUCUAGUUCUGAGGUCCAAAAUCUAUUGUGUAUCUGUUUUUCAAUAGUGUCCAUCUUUCUGCCUGCACUGAUGGUCUGUGAUUCUGUGGGAGUUCCCAUGGGAGAAUAAUGCGUGACUCAAUGCUUUCAAGCAAAGAUAAAGAACGCACAUGAUAGAAAACCCAUGCCAUCUGUGUCUAUAACACAUGAUAAUGUAAAAAUAAACCAUGUAAACUUUUAGAAAAAAGCCCAUUCAGCGGUGCUCCAAUUUGUCAGUCGGAAUUUAUUUAAAAGGCAAACACAAGAAACACUGAAAGGAUGAAAUUCCAGCCACCCUGUUUUUCGGGAUGCUACACGGCUCGCCAAUUUGUCAGCCCCACUCCAAAAUAGUUCACAAAAGGGCAUGCAGUCCUAUAAAACCUCCCACACCGGUUAGAAAUUCUGGUGAAAGCGGCAUACAGUAGCUCCUGUGCCCCCCUCAUCCUCACCUCCUCCUCCCUACUCCAUGACUAAGUGAUUUAGCCAGCUCUGGUGCAGGCCGCCUCUCACUUACAAUGCCUCCCUAGAGUGGGGAGGGUGGCAGAGAAAGAGAGAAAACCCAUUUACAAUGCGGCUUACACACGGCCGUCCCCCUGCAGACGGCGCCCAUCCUUGGAUUGAUGUGUGGUAUGCAUAGUUUUUGGGUGCAAUUUGGGCACCACAGAGAGGGAGAAAGAAAAAGAGGGCAAGUCUGUGUAUGUCGGAGGGUGUAGGAGGGGGGUACAGGGCUCAGGCUGUCUGUUCUCUCGCCCUCUCUUUGAGUCAAUACUGUUCCGGCAGCUGAGGUUCUUUAUGAGGGGAACAAUCUGGAGGGUCUUGUCAGAAUGCCGAGCAGCUGCUGUUUUCUGGCGAGCUUCUUUCAUGGACCACAGGCCUGGAGUAGGCUGGUGAAUACAGACGCACCCUCCCACCCAUCUUCCUCAUCACCCCUACCUUCUCUGAUUCCUCAUCCUCUCCCCCAAAACCACCCCUCACAAUGGAAACCCUCCCGCACAGUGCCAGAUGAAGAGUGGCACAGAGGAACAUGAAGAGAGCAAGAGAUAUUUUUUUUAUUGUGCGCUACACUCCGCUCUGUCACCUGGGGUACCAUCCUUCACCCCGAACAAUGCUUUCAUGAGGUAUGUGAAGAUCCUUCCGUAAAACAAACACAGACGUUAAAUAGCGUAUUAAAACACCACAAAAUAUAGCUUGGACAUAUUGGCACCUGUGAUCACAUCUUUACAACCUGAUGUGUGAGUGGACAUUUGAUUUGUUUAAUAGAUCACAAUAAAACCAUAAGCCUGAUUCAGGUUAGAUUGGAAGAGGCUGAUUACAGCAGAGCCUCUUGUAUUUCUCCUGAGUGGGAUUUACAUUAGCAGAGCAGUGAGUUUGCAUUCGCUCCCUUUCUGUCAUUGAUUCAGUUAGUCA